rnacentral:rRNA from 1 species
GAGUUUGAUCCUGGCUCAGCCUGAACGCUGGCGGCGUGGCUAAGACAUGCAAGUCGCACGGUGUAGCAAUACACAGUGGCGAACGGGUGAGUAAUGAAUCGCUAAUGUACCCCGGACUCUGAGAUAGCUACCCGAAAGGGUAGGUAAUAUCAGAUGAUAUGCAGCUGUCGCAUGACAGUUGCCUCAAAGGUCCGCCGGUCUGGGAGCAGGCGAUUUCGUAUCAGCUAGUUGGUGAGGUAACGGCUCACCAAGGCGACGACGCGUAACCGGACUGAGAGGUUGGCCGGUCACAUUGGGACUGAGACACUGCCCAGACUCCUACGGGGGGCUGCAGUAACGAAUCUUCCGCAAUGCACGAAAGUGUGACGGAGCGACGCCGCGUGUAGGACGAAGCCCUUCGGGGUGUAAACUACUGUCAGGGGAAAGAAAGUUCUGAUCUACCCCAGAGGAAGGGACGGCUAACUCUGUGCCAGCAGCCGCGAUAAGACAGAGGUCCCGAGCGUUAGGCGGAAUCACUGGGCUUAAAGCGUGUGUAGGCGGAUGCCUAAGUACCUUGUGAAAUCCCACGGCUCAACCGUGGAACUGCUUGGUAUACUGGGUGUCUUGAGCCACUUAGGGGCUACCGGAACAAAUGGUGGAGCGGUGAAAUGCGUAGAUAUCAUUUGGAACGCCAAUGGUGAAAACAGGUAGCUGGGAGUGUGCUGACGCUGAGACACGAAAGCCAGGGGAGCGAACGGGAUUAGAUACCCCGGUAGUCCUGGCUGUAAACGAUGUCCACUAGAUCGUGGCGGCUCUGACGC